AGCACAGCACCCCUCAGGACGAGACAGAGAUAGCGAGCAUUAACCAGAAGUUCUUUGUGUAGCAGGCUGAAGCAAAAGGGGAUUAACGGCAUCUUUCAUGGGUGUGUCGGCUUCUUUUUACCGCGCACCUGGAGGACAGGCCCACCAGUUUUUGCCUAACUGGCACCGAAUGGAAAACCCACAUACCGGGUAGGCCAUCGCCCGCUGAAUUGAUCAGAGUGCGCUGUAAGGGAAGAGACGGUGCUGCUCGUUGUAACAGAUAACGGGGCCAACAUCAUCGAGACUGUUCGGCUUGUACCAACGCUUCUCAGCAUGAGCAAAGAGCUGAUGCGGAGGGCCAGGAUGAAAUGUGGAUGGACUCUGAGUCAGACACAGAGUCUGAGCAUUUGCAGCUAUAAUGUUCGAGUUCCCUUUUGGCUUUUCUGAUUCAUAUGAAUAUAUAGAAGAAAUCUCUGCAUGGCCCUUGUCUGAAAGGUGGCACCACCAACAAGUUCACAGUGGAAACCAGGUAUUUAUGAAGGAUUCAUGGUGAAGUGUCACAAACCUGUUUUCUGUAAAACUCUAUCAUCUUCCCUGUGCAGAGGAGCAGGUACUGUUGGCCUUGGUCUACCAAUGGAAAGUCCAUCUGAGGCCAAAAUGUCCUGAACCGACAACAAGGAUGGCAGCUGCAGUGUGGAGUACAUCCCAUAUGAGGCUGGCACGUACAACCUCAACAUCGCGUAUAGAGGACAACCUAUCACAGGUGCUGAAUGGUAUUUUAGUAGUAUUAAGAAAUACAAUUGUGAGAGAAGAGCGUCUUAAGUGUAUAGUGUUGAAAUGUACUCCAUCUGCUGCUGUUAAAAGGGGGGGGGGGGGCCUUAAAUAUUUGUUCUAAUUUUCCCUCAUGUCUUGCCUGAGCCCAAGAAGGUAAAUAUCCAUUACAACCAUGAUGGGACCUACCUGGUGUGUUAUGUGCCAGACAUGACUGACAGAUACACAAUUCUCAUUAAGUACGGAGGAGACGAGAUCCCUUAUUUACCCUACUGAACCAGGCUUCUGUAUACCAGAGGAGCCAGCAAGUGCACUUUCACAGGUAUGUACUGGACAAAUGGGCUUCUGCAGUCAUAGCAGUUAUAGAGGUUUUGUUGUUGUUGCUGUUGUUUUCUUUACUUUUUGUGGUUUUUCUACUAAUUUGUCAAAGUCAGUUGUACUGCUGAUCAGCUUCUCAUUUCUGUAGGAAUAAUUAGUAAAACAUAAUGUGUGGAAUACUGAUACAAAAUGCACCUAGAUUUUCAACAUCCGCAUCUGAUUCUUAUAAACAAUAUAUGCCCCUUUUUCCAAAUGUUGCUUUCUAUUGCUAUUAAAGUUCUUGCAACCAGGAGAGAUCAAAGGGUGUUUUGUGCUGGUUUUCACUCAGAGCGCAGAAAUCCAUAGUUGCUCAUACAGGAUGUAAUAUAUUUCAGAAAAUGUUAAACAGAUUUACAAAUGGGUAAAUACCUAUAAAUAUGUCUCUUUAGAACACGAGUAGGUGUUUCUCAGACAGUAUAAGUGGCUGGGUUAGUGAUAUGAAAUUACCUCGCAGACUUCUUGAGCUGUUGUCCAGUUUCAUACAUACAAUGAACUGAGGUAUUCUCUUUGGUUAAUUACUUGUUUGACAAUGGCAACGAUUGCAAGUAUUCCUCCCCAACCACAUCUACUAAGGGGACACCGAACUUAUGCGCUCCAGAGAUGAUUAUGUAGGUGUUCUGUAAGGAUGACGAGUUUUGAAAAAAGUCAUGUGAUACAGAUUUUCUCUCAGUAUACCUGCUGCUCAUAUCUCAUCAUUUUUCUGUGCAUUGGUAUGUGGUAUUCCUCACACUGUGCUCCUCAGUUACACCCCCUGCCCAAUCCUCACACUGCUUCCUCUCUCAUAACUGUGUGUCUCCAUUUCCAUUUUAUAUUGCACAAACUAAUGGACUGACAGAGUAGGUAGGAAAGCGUGGUGAAAUGGCACUUUGGCUAAUCUAGCUUUCUGUUUAUAACGGUUAUAGACCCUGUGCACGAGAAAAUGCUAAUUUCUUGUUUUAAGACCGGAUGUAGGGUUGUACAUUUCCAGUAGCUUUAUUUUGCGGUCAAUCGCUACUGCGAAGGUGGACUCCAAAAUCAUGUCCAAAAUACGAAAACGGAGAGAUCGCGUUAAGUUCAAAAGAGCAGGAGGUGGGAACACUCACCAUUGCUGUGUCAUAAAAAACCAAAUGAUCAAUUUUGACGUUUGAAGCGUGUAGAUUGAUUGGUUGUUUACAUUACUCAACACAAGCAAAACUGCAUUACAAAAUCAGAAGACACAUCGUCCACACUCAGAAGCACAUCUCUGUAUAGUGACAGUUCUUAUGAUUUAAAGAGGGAAAUGUCCAGCAUUCAAACUACAGAUGAACAAUAGUCAAAGCCAGAUGUUUCCCAGAUGUCUCUAUAUAUUCGUAUUUACAAAGGGUAUGUUGUGACUUAUCUUCACAAUUACAGUGGUCCCUCGCUAUAAUGCGGUGCACCUUUCGCAGUCUCGCUGUUUCGCGCAUGUUUUUAGUGCAAUUUUGCAUGCUUUUUUUUUUUUUAAGCGCAGUGUGUCCUGAUCAGCUGUAGAUCACUGUCGAUCUCCUCCGUGCCGUCUCGCCUGUACAGUACAGAAUCGCUACAUCAAUCGCUAGCAGUGUGACUCUGAAGUGCUGUACUGUAUGUUUGUAAGUUUUCUCCCCAACAAAAAACAAUGUCGGCGAAACGUUUUGCACCGUCAUAGGCAGCUGCGGUAGCACCCAAAAGGCAGAGGAAGAUAAGCAUCGCAAAACAAACGUUGGACUUCUGGGACCAUACGGCGCACCGGAUUAUAAGGUGCAUUAAGCUGAAAUUAAGCAAUUAAGCUUAAAGUUAAAUUGAUUAGUUCUAAAAUCCGUCAUUAUUAUUUAUAGAAAAAAACAUAUAUACUGUAUGUUUAUUUUUCAAAUAAAUGUUUGGGACUGAAAACUGGUUUUGAUCUUCGGUUUCAUUCUAUAAUACUGGACUUUUUUUUCUUGAACUUUGAGAGUGUUUAAACGAGAGAGAAAAGUGGGACAAUGUUGAUGCCUGUCUGAGAAAAGUGUAUAAAGUGUGUAGUGAGGGGUUUUACAGCCUUAAAACAUAUAAAAUAAUUGUAAAAAUAACAAUAAUAAUAAUAAUAAAGUUGGCUACUUUGCGGAUUUCACCUAUUGCUGGUUAUUUUUAGAACAUAACCCCCGCGAUAAACGAGAGAACACUAUAGACAAGUAUCGACAAGUCGAUGAACGUCAUCUACAGAUGUAUUCGGUAAAUGCUCAAGACAUCUUGAGAAAUGUAAAUUGCCGCUUGAUUCAUCCAUUUGGUUGACUUUUUUGCAAAAAAAACAAGGUGCGAAAAUCACACCGAAAACGAAGCGCCUUUAUUCUUUUAAAGAACUUUAUUUGACAAACAAUGAGUAUACAACAUACGAACAGAUGAAGUAUACAAAAGAACAGAACAUGAACACACAAAACCAGGGGUAAAAAGAAAAAAACAAUAAUUAUAUGAAUACACGCACAUAUAUAUCACAUAUAUAUAUUGUUUUGAGAGCCUUUUUGUUGGUGGAGUCUGAUAUUGAUUGUAUAUACAUUUCCACAUCCUUAAGAAAAUGACAGAAAUAUGGUGUUUUAUUAGUAAACUUGCAUUUAUGGAUAAAAAAUUUAGCUAAAAGUAUUAACAAAUUUAUUAUAAAAAAACAUUUAUCAUUCUUCUUGGGGAACUUAAAGAAACAGAAUAAAACAUUUUCCCAUCAUAAAGAAAACUCCCUCAAAAUAUGGACAAUAACAAACCUGCUAAAUUCCUUCCAGAAUCUCUAUGUAGAAGAACAGUACCAAAAAAUAUGUGUCACAGUUUCUGGAUGAUCCUCACAGAAAGUACAAUUAGUAUUUAUGUCUCUUUCAAAUUUUACCAUGUAGUGACUGGCUGGAUAACAUUUAUGUAGAAUUUUAAAUGAAACUUCCUUCACCUUAUUUACAAUCAAAUAUUUAUGGGGGAUCAUCCAGACUGUCUUCCACUUGAUAUCUGGAACAUAUCGGUUCCAGUAAGAUAUUACAUAUGGGAGAGAGACGAUAUCUUCUUGGAAUAAACUACGUAUUCUCUUAUUGCUGUUACCAAGUUCCUGUGAAAAGCAGAUUUUUCCCACUGCUGACUCAGCUGGAUCAGGGAGAGUGACUGAGGUAGAUAUUGAGAGGUCAGUGUUUUUAUAUAACAUUAAAUUACUUGAGGGUAUGGCACCAAGCACCAUUGAGAAUUCCUGAACACUGACUGGAAAAUUAUAUAGUGCAAGAAAUUCGUUGUAAGUAAGUAGUUGUCCCCCUUUAUUAACCAGCUGAGCCACUAAUAGGAUCCCAUUUUGGACCCAAAUUUCCAGGAAAAGUGAUUUAUUUUUAAAUAAAAUAUCUCUGUUGUUCCAGAUGAGGUAUUUGUGUGGUGAGAAGUUGUGUUUAUAAAUGAGGGUCCACGCUAAGAGGACCUGCUUAUGGAAGGAUGAAAGUUUUACAGGGAGUUUCUCAACAUUGUAAUUACAAUUUAAAAUAAAAUGAAAGCCACCAAAACGGGAGAAAAUAUGAUAUGGUAUAAAGUUCCAGAUAGAGGUAGGGUUUUUAAGAAAAUGUUUAGCUCAAUUAAUUUUGAAAGUGUUAUUUAAAGUAGAAAAGUCUAAAAAGUUAAGCCCACCUGAUUCGUAGUUAUUCAUCACAACAGUUUUUCUAAUAUAAUGCGUACAGUUUUUCCACAUAAAAUUAAAGAGCAUGCGGUCAAUAUCUUUACUAAUUUUCUUAUCCAGGUGUAAUGAGAGAGCAGCAUAUGUUAAUCAGGUUAUCCCUUCAGCUUUAGUAAUUAACACUCUACCUUUCAAAGUUAAGUCCCUUUGCAGCCACUGGUUGAACUUUUUUAGGGUUGGAGUGAAGUUUGAAGAGCAUUUUGAUUUUUGGUCUUUGGAUAUUAACAGUCCCAAGUAUGUGACUUCUUGUUUGACAGAAAUAUUACAGAUAGUAUUUGCAGGGCAGUCUUUAUUUGCUAGUAACUCUAAAAGAAAAACUAACAUUUUUUUAGAUUUAGCCAUAAACCAGUGGCCUCAGAGAAAUCACUAAUCACACUAAGGGCUAGAGGGAUUUGGUUUGCAUUCUUCAAAAAGAGUGUGGUGUCAUCAGCUAACUGUCUGAUGAUGAGCUCCUUAUCAGCUAUGGUGAUUCCUUGUACAACACUGUUUGAAAUAUUAGUUGCAAAAAUUUGUGUACAAAGUAAGAAUAAAUAUGGAGAAAUAGGACAUCCUUGGCGAAUACCACAUUUCAGGUCAAAUCUCGGGGUGGAGCCGUUAAUCAUUUUAAUAGAACUAUUGCCAUUUGUGUAUAAGGUUUUGACAGCUUUACAGAAAAACUCUCCAAAGCCAAAUUUUUCCGAAGAGUGGAAAAUAAAUUGAUGUUCAAUUGUAUCAAAAGCCUUAUAAAAAUCCAGGAAGAGAAUGAAGCUAUUGUCAGGUACCAAAUCAGAGUAAUCAAGUAAAUCCAAAACCAGUCUAAUGUUAUUAGAAAUGUGUCUAUUUCUCAUAAAGCCUGAUUGUGUCUCAU